rnacentral:rRNA from 1 species
GAUGAACGCUAGCUACAGGCUUAACACAUGCAAGUCGAGGGGCAGCAUGGUCUUAGCUUGCUAAGGCCGAUGGCGACCGGCGCACGGGUGAGUAACACGUAUCCAACCUGCCGUCUACUCUUGGACAGCCUUCUGAAAGGAAGAUUAAUACAAGAUGGCAUCGUGAGUUCACAUGUUCACAUGAUUAAAGGUAUUCCGGUAGACGAUGGGGAUGCGUUCCAUUAGAUAGUAGGCGGGGUAACGGCCCACCUAGUCUUCGAUGGAUAGGGGUUCUGAGAGGAAGGUCCCCCACAUUGGAACUGAGACACGGUCCAAACUCCUACGGGAGGCAGCAGUGAGGAAUAUUGGUCAAUGGGCGAGAGCCUGAACCAGCCAAGUAGCGUGAAGGAGGACUGCCCUAUGGGUUGUAAACUUCUUUUAUAAAGGAAUAAAGUCGGGUAUGUAUACCCGUUUGCAUGUACUUUAUGAAUAAGGAUCGGCUAACUCCGUG